rnacentral:rRNA from 1 species
GACGAACCGUGCGAACGUUGUUCGGAAUCACUGGGCUUAAAGGGCGCGUAGGCGGGCUGCCGAGUCCGGGGUGAAAUCCUCCCGCUCAACGGGAGAACGGCCCCGGGUACUGGCGGCCUCGAGGCGGGUAGGGGCGUGCGGAACACUGGGUGGAGCGGUGAAAUGCGUUGAUAUCCAGUGGAACUCCGGUGGCGAAGGCGGCACGCUGGACCGACACUGACACUGAGGAGCGAAAGCCAGGGGAGCAAACGGG